CGGUGGGUGGGCAGUGAGGCAGGUACAAGGUUUGCUCGCACAAGCAGCCUUUCCAGAGGGGAUGCACAGCUAAUUCCCGCGGGUUUCCACCACCAGCAGUUACACCCUUUGGUUUUUAUUUCCUUGGAGUCCUGGCCAGGCUGGGUCUGGCUCAAGACCACCACUCCAGUACUGCUGGUGGCGAUGGCAGGAUGCAAAUCCGAGCCGGCACACGGACCCCGCACACGCAUCCCGGUGCCAAAAAGAUUGGGCACGUUCCGAUCCAGGGGGGGAUGCGCCAGCGGAGCCGGACCCCGCCUGCUCCAGGGCCACAAGGCGAGCCGCCAGCGCUGCCUGGGGUGAAUUCCGACAUCUCCAGCAACCCCAGGGAGGAAAAAAAAAAAACCCCAAAAUCCGCGGAGCGGAGCGCUGAGGGCCUCCCGAUGGAUGGGAUGCGCUGUGCAUCCCAUCCAUCGGGAUGCACAUCCAUGCAGGGAGGGGAGCGAGGCAGCGCCGCUGGAGCGGGACCCAGCCCGGAGCGCUGCCCCGCAGCCCGGGGCGAAGCGACAGCGCGGCCUUUCCGACAAUAAAUCAAUAAAAAUCCAAAAAAA